rnacentral:rRNA from 1 species
GACGAACGCUGGCGGCGUGCUUAACACAUGCAAGUCGAACGGUAAGGCCCUUCGGGGUACACGAGUGGCGAACGGGUGAGUAACACGUGGGUGAUCUGCCCUGCACCUCGGGAUAAGCCUGGGAAACUGGGUCUAAUACCGGAUAGGACCACUGCCUGCAUGGGUGGUGGUGGAAAGCUUUUGGGGUGUGGGAUGGUGCCCGCGGCCUAUCAGCUUGUUGGUGGGGUGAUGGCCUACCAAGGCGACGACGGGUAGCCGGCCUGAGAGGGUGACCGGCUACACUGGGAAUGGGAUACGGCCCAGACUCCGACGGGAGGCAGCAGUGGGGAAUAUUGCACAAUGGGCGGAAGCCUGAUGCAGCGACGCCGCGAGAGGGAUGACGGCCUUCGGGUUGUAAACCUCUUUCAGCAGCGACGAAGCGCAAGUGACGGUGGGUGCAGAAGAAGGAACAGACAAUUACGUGCCAGCCGCCGCGGUAAAAC